UUGUUUGUUUUUAUCACACUUUUAUUAACACAUUUUAUGUAUACUGAAUGUAAUUCUGGUCUCUUUAUCUUAAUCUGUGGUAAAGCUUAACCAGAUUUUGAGUAAAAAUGACAGAGAUGAGACAAUUGCUCAAGUUGGAAGCAUUAAACUGCAGCAGAAAGAUUUCUUGACCUUGGGCCUCAAUGCAGCGCUUGAGGCAACAAUUGCAAACAGCUGUCUUAAUGUGAUCGUCAUGGUGGCUAAGGAAAAGGGAACAGAUGUGUUUGCAGCAAAUUCCUAUGUUGUAGUUACCUGGCUACCACCACUUGAAUUGGACCCAUUUUUAUCGUUUCCAGAUAACAUAGGAUCCAAGGAUUACUGCUUGGAUGCCAUGGACACUG